ACCAGGAGGGCAUCCUUCAGACCAUCCUGUACAUGGACAUCUUAGGCCAGUGUGAAUCGAGCAUCCAGUUAUACCAGGCGGUGUCAGAGGAAGGCCCAAAAAUUGUCAAAGACUCCCAAGUCACCCAAGUCAUAGACUGUUCCCUUUGCUAACGCACGGCAAGCGGUACCAGAGUGCCAAGUCGAGGUCCAAAAGGCUCUUACCCCCAAGCCAUAAUACUGCUGAACAAUUCAUCAAAUGGCCACCCGGCGUAUGUGACAAACAUAAUUUGAUUCGAUUUUUGAUUUGAUUUGGAGACUACAGCACAUCGAGCCUGUGGACGGACAGACAUGAGGCGUGACAUACGGAACAUCAGUCUCACCCCUCGAGAAGCCGUGCAUGAUCAACGACACCCUCAGCAGGGAGAUCUGCUGGCGGUGAUGUACUGUACUCUCUCACUCUGGCUUUUGGUGGCUGGCCCGCUCCAAGAGUCUGAAGUGCGGGAUGUUACUCCGCCCCCUCUGGACAUCGAGGGGUCCCGACGUACUCCGUUCGAUCCAUCUUGGAUUCGAGACGUCGGGCGAGGGGCCUUCAGUACCUCGUGGACUGGGAGGGGUACGGUCCGGAGGAGAGAUGCUGGGUUCCGGUUGAGGACGUAAUAGAUCCUUCCAUGCUGCAAGAAUUCCACCGUCUCCAUCCGGAUCGCCCUGCAGCUCACCCUCCGGGUUGUCCCCGAGGCCGGUGUCGACGCGCAGCUGGAGCCGCGCUUCAGGGGGGGUACUGUCACGACUUCUGCCGAAGUCGAAGCCUUGCCUUGUUCGGGCGGUGCUCAGUGGUCGACGUCACCGGUCUUCUAGCCAUCAUUGAUUCAUUUUUCAUUUUCCAUUGGUUUUGUCUUGUCUUCCCACACACCUGGUGCACAAGCAUUUCGCUACACUCGCAUUAACAUCUGCUAACCAUGUGUAUGUGACAAAUAAAAUUGUAUUUUAUUUGGUUUCAAUCCCAUUCAUGACAUGUUGUGUAUUUAACCCUCUGUUUCUGUUUCCCCUCAAGUCUUUAUCAGAGAUUGUUCGUUAUUCAGUGUUGUGUUGCUUUUGUAUUGGUGCGUGACGGGUCCUCGUACCCACUUUGUUUAUUGUUACAUUUAGUGUUUGGAGUAUGUUUUGUUUAUUGUUAUUUAAUAACUCCAUUACACUCAGUUUGAUUCUCCUGCGUCUGACUUCCCUGCCACCUAAACACAUGACUCUGACAUGAAAGCUCUUACAAUAUUCAACGAUGGCAUUUCUCUAAAACAGGCUUAGGCUACAUGUGCACCACCAAGUCAGAACAGUAGGCUAAAUUAUGAAGCCAAAAGGGACCAAAUUAAUAGGGUGAGGCACAUGGGCUACUAACAGCUUACUACACAACAUACACUUAGUAUUAAUGUCUUAGCUACAGUAUACAUAUCUCCCUGGCAUAUUACCUCAUUUAUGCAGCAGCAUACAAUUUUUGGAUUCACCUUGUUGUUCUCACUUGAACAGGAAGGUGGCACAGCGGUCCUUUGUGGGCAAAUUUUGUCAUCAAACUUUGUCAUUCUCUGGAUUUAUGGUGCUUUCAAUACAACUGGAAACUCAUGAUGUUAGUGAUCUUCAGGUUGGAGCUCUAGAAAGAGGCCUGAGUUCCCGACUUAGAAUUCUGAGCUUGUUGUCAUUGCAGGCAAUCUCAAUGCUGUGUGUUACAGGGAAUGCCAAGAGUGUGCAAAGCUGUCAUCAAGGCAAAGGGUGGCUACUGAAGAAUCUCAAAUAUAAAAUAUAUAUUGAUUGUUUAACGCUUUUUUGGUUACUACAUGAUUCCGUGUGUUAUUUCAUAGUUUUGAUGUCUUCACUAUUAUUCUACAAUGUAGAAAAUAGUAAAAUAAAGAAAAACCCUUGAAUGAGUAGGUGUAUACAAUCUUUUGACUGGUA